rnacentral:rRNA from 1 species
AGGACGAACGCUGGCGGCGUGCCUCAUACAUGCAAGUGGAGCGACGAACCAGGAUUUAUCCUGGGGCAAAGCCACGAACGGGUGAGUAACACGUGGGUUACCUGCCCCGAUGAUUGGGACAACCCGAGGAAACUCGGGCUAAUACCAAAUGUGCCCGUGGUUGUGAUGAUCACGAGGAAAGGAAGCUUCGGCCUCCGCAUCGGGAUGGGCCCGCGGCCCAUUAGCUAGUUGGUGGGGUAAAGGCCUACCAAGGCGACGAUCAGUAGCUGGUCUGAGAGGAUGAUCAGCCACAUUGGGACUGAGACACGGCCCAAACUCCUACGGGAGGCAGCAGUGGGGAAUAUUGGACAAUGGGCGCAAGCCUGAUCCAGCAAUGCCGCGUGUGUGAAGAAGGUCUUCGGAUUGUAAAGCACUUUUGGCAGGGACGAUGAUGACGGUACCUGCAGAAUAAGCCCCGGCUAACUUCGUGCCAGCAGCCGC